rnacentral:rRNA from 1 species
UACGCAGGGAGCUAGCGUUGUUCGGAAUCACUGGGCGUAAAGCGCACGUAGGCGGAUGUGUCAGUCAGGGGUGAAAUCCCGGAGCUCAACUUCGGAACUGCCUUUGAUACAGCACGUCUUGAGUCCGAUAGAGGUGGGUGGAAUUCCUAGUGUAGAGGUGAAAUUCGUAGAUAUUCGCAGGAACACCAGUGGCGAAGGCGGCUCACUGGUCCGAUACUGACGCUGAGGUGCGAAAGCGUGGGGAGCAAACAGG